CGCUCCGGAUGACCUAGUGGUUAGAGCGUACGCCUCGCAUGCGGGAGGUCAUGAGUUCGAUCCCCGCUCGAGUCA